CAAGCCCUUUACAAACUCAGACUCUUUGUAUUAGGAACUUAACCAGGUAACAUCAUUACCACUUCGGGGCCCCUUGUCGAUGGACAUCACCCGAAACCUCUACCUCUGAUGUCUUCCUUCUACAUCAACUGAUCAACUGAUCUCCUGAAUCUCGGAGGCCUCUGCCUUUUGAAUCUGACCCAGUAAUGGAAGAAAUCAUUCAUCGUUCAGCAAGAGGAGGAAAGAGGGAAGAGGAAGAAAAAACACAACAAGACCCGGCAACACAAUGGGCCUCUAGUGCUGGUCUGUCUACUGAAAUGGUGCCUGGCUGAUGACUGGGAGGGAUCAGGGCAUGUCUGUGGGAUUUGCCUUUCAUGGGGCCUUGAAUGACCCGAGAGAGACUGGAUGUGGCUCUCUCUUGGGCUCCAAGGGGAAAUUUGAGAUAUGUCCCCCUCUACUUUCUCCUUUUACAACUCCUGACUUUAAAAAACAAUUACUGCUCUAUUCACAACGGUAAGAUUACAGGUGUUUCUGUUUGAUUUCCUUCUCAGUCCCCCUCUCCCAGAGUAUUGUCCUACAUUUUCACCUGCUCCCACUGCCAUACAACAUUUCCUGCUCUCACAACAUUUGCAUCAAGUAAUGUUUGCUUUGCUUGUUUCAGAGCAAAACCUUUUCUUUAUGCUUGUUCUGACAUCAAUGGAGGUUAUGUAUUUUGAACAUUAAUUCAUUUUUAAAUAUAUAUUUCUUUCACCUUUAUUUAACUAGGCAAGUCAUUCAAGAAGAAAUUCUUAUUUACAAUGACGGCCUGCCGGGGAACAGUGGGUUAACUGCCUUGUUCAGGGGCAGAUUUUUACCUUGUUAGCUCAGGGGAUUUGGUCCAGCAACCUUUUGAUUACUGGCUCAAACGCUCUAUCCACUAGGCUACCUGCCGCCCCAAAAGAAAGAAAUCAAACAAUAUUUUACUUGUAGACUGUCAAACAUCUACUACUGAAAGUAAUGUUACUUCACAUGAAAGGGCGAAUGUAAUCGGACAAUAUGUAUAUGGUAAAAUAACACAAUACCAAUUUUGAAAUGCUAUGAUAGUGUAUUUACCAGUGCAGCAACAGUGUGAUUUGUGCACAGUGCAUAAAGUUUGUACAUAUAGGUACUUAGGCUUGCCAUAACAAAGUGGUUGAAUAGUUAUUGACUCAAGACAUUUCAGCUUUUAAUUCCACUUUGACAUUAUACAAUAUUGUGUUUAGAUCAGUGACACCAAACCUCAAUUUAAUCAAAUUCAGGCUACAACAACACAACAAAAUGUGUAAAAAGCAAAGGGUUUUGAAUACUUUCUGAAUGCACUGUAGCUGUUGUGUAAUGUAUAAUGUUUGCCAUGAAAUGUCAACGAGGGCAUUCUACAACGUUGGUGGGAGUUUGCCAAUGUGGCAAUGGUAAAGAAAUAAUAUAGUUAACUGUAUUGUGGUUCAACAGUCAUAAUCUAGUAUGACUAAGAUUGCAAAGGCAGGGUAUAUUACUGGAAACUUUCACAUUUACCAGUAAACUGCCAGAAUGUUGGGUUCUUUCAAGGAUGUUAUGUAAUCUAUUGCAAGACGUGUAGUGGCCCAUUUGGGUACUUCAGAUGUCUGUAAUCAUCUCUGACCCUCUGUGUGGCUUUAUCACAUGUAAAAUAUAUGAAAUAAUGAAAUAAGAGAUUUAAAAAAUAAAUAAUUCAGUGACAAAGCUGUAAAACAUGAUCUUAAAUAUAAACCAUCAACUUAGUUAACACCAUUGGUGUUUAAUAUGAGGGUUUCAGCAUGAAAUAUUCUUAAGAUUUUUUUUUUUACACACUUUGAUUUAUUUGACUGUGUCAUUAUGUAUUUGUUGUCAAUGUUUGAGCUUCAAAUUGGUGGCAAUUGUUAGUAUAUGGAAGACAGUCAAUAGUUAGAAGAAUUGCAUUAAAAAUAAUGCCAUUGAAAAUACUGCCAUUGUUGAUCAGAUGCUUAUUAUUAAUCGGGCGAUUUUCUCUUGAAACAUAUGGCCUAUUUAUUAGAAACUCAUGGACAGCGUGGCCACAGAUAUAUAUAAAAAAUGAAUGCUAUAUAUGAAUACAUUUUUUAAAAAGUUAUUCAAGUAUAAAUUACCAACGUUACGAUAGAUUGUCAUAGAUGUUCUGUUCAUUACCAAAAUUCCUUAAGAUUCCAGUAACUUCAGUAAAUUACCGGUGGCUUUGCAACCCUAACUAUGACAUACUCUGAUAAAUCUAGACAUGACAGUAAUCUGAUUUCUGAAGUCAGUGCAGUUUUUCUGAUAUUCCUGUCACUGUGGUACUCUAGAAUACUAAAUGAUUGACAUCAUACUUUAGCGGUUUGAUGCAGCUGAAGCUUGACUUUGCGAUGGCCCAGUGCCAUAUUUUUGAAAACUAACAGCGCAGAUCGCGUAACGUCAAGGAACUUUUGUAAAACCGCAGCCUCUUAAAUGAUAGUUUAGGUUCUUGGAUCAUAAAAAGGAACGGUUUUGUAGCGUUUGGAUAAUUAUUAACAGUGACUUAGUCUACUGAUGUUGUUGCACAAUUAUUGAAGGGAAACCAUCAAAAAAAUCCGUCAGGGUUGGUAAACACAGCAGUCAGUAAGUGCUUUUCUGGACCAGUAGCCUCCCCUAUUGACACUGUCCGCAUCUGUGUUGCUCUUGUAAAUUAAAUGUUGAUAUUUGGAUGGCCAUCUCCAUCUUACAAGGCAGUUUUGGAUGUCAUAACUCUCUCUAAUACUGCCUGGUAAUGAUGAUGAUGACCCCCUGCAAGCAUCAUAGAGUCAACACACAACACACAAACACAAUCCCGUUUAGCACUGCAUUUUCUUAGUCCUUGAGCCAGUGUGUAGUAAUAUCUUAUGAGUUGCUGGUAGCUUUGAGUAGUAUUCUAAGGGUUGUGUAGACUUAGAUAUGCUCUGAGUUGGAUAUAGAUAGAUAUAGUUAUGUGCUUCUGAUAUUCACUUUCUCUGGCUUCCAGGACACAUCUUACCUGACAGUGCUCGGCUGUACACAGAUGUUCUAACACUGUCUGGUAAUGAUGUUCCCUGAAAGACCUUCAAACAACCACGUCAAUAAUCCCAACAACCAAUAGGGGUGCAACGGCACUGUAGCAUACCUGAAGCAGGAAGCAUUUGCUGUUUGUAAAUAGUUCUUGGUACAUUUUCUGGUCAAUGCUAUAUGUUUAAUAGUGAGGCCCUUGUAUGGCAUUAUCAUAGUUCAGCUGUAGACUCCAAAUCAGGUGAUCUCCAGUUUACAGUACAGCACAUGAAAAUAUGGACGCUGUAGUAGGGUAGUUAUUUUUAAAGGACUACAUAGGUAAAUAAUAAGAUGACGGAACAACUGGCUGGAGGAAGCAACCAGAACAGGUGGCACACACUAGACAGUGAAGGCUGACAGAGAUAGUCCCAUAGGAAAAGAGAUUGACGCUGUCUGUGGUGAACACCUUCUGCCUAACCCCCCUUUUGUGAUAGGUAGUUCCUUCCUACCUCCUGCCUUUUGUGUAGAUUUUCCACCCCACCCAGUAGUUAAAGAAUACCAGUGAAAUUACUGUUGCAGUAGGAGCCACUUCCUCUACCCCUCCCCCAGUCGGAGCUGAGCCUGUGCUUUAGUUGGCUUGUGAUUGGUCCAGCGCUACUGUACCUGCGUGGCAUAUUGUGUAGCUGACACCUGAGAUCUGUGUGAGAAAAAUAAACACAACGAUCUCUAUUGCUCUCCUACUCUCAUGCUCUCUCUCUCUCUCUAUUGUCUUUUAUAACUCUCAACUGAUUUAUAACUCUAAACCAAUUGGCCUGUUUUCUAUUCAACACACUAUUUUUCAAGGAAAAGUGAAGGGAGACGAGGAACUAAGCGGCUCCCACCUGGUACUCUACCCUGCACCUUAGAGACAGCUGUACAUAGAGUCAUUGAAAACUGGUAACAUUAAUGUUUACAUACUGUUUUACCCACUCUAUAUGUAUAUACUGUAUUUUAGUCAUGGAUCAUCCUAUAUAACUACUGUUGUACGCAUCUUUUCUAUUCAUAUGCUGUCUAACACACUACUUUAUAUGCAUACUGUAUACAGUACCAGUCAAAAGUUUAGACACACCUACUCAUGCAAGGGUUUUUCUUUCUAUUUACUAUCUUCUACAUUGUAAAAUAAUAAUGAAGACAUCCAAACUAUGAAAUAACACAUACAGAAUCAUUUAGUAAGCAAAAAAAUGUUAAAGUGUUAUUUGAGAUUUGAGAUUCUUCAAUGUAGCCACUCACAGGUUUGCACACUCUUGGAAUACUCUCAACCAGCUUCAUGACAUAGUCACCUGGAAUGCAUUUCAGUUAACAGGUGUUCCUUGUUAAUUUGUGGAAUUUCUUUACGGCUUAAUGCGUUUGAGACAAUGUUGUGUUGUGACAAGGUAGGGGUGGUAUACAGAAGUUAGCCCUAUUUGGUGAAAGACCAAGUCCAUAUUAUGGCAAGAACAGCUCAAAUAAGCAAAGUAAAACGACAGUCCAUCGUUACUUUAAGACAUGAAGGUCUGUCCAUGCAGAAAAUUUCAAGAACUUUGAAAGUUUCUUCAGGCACAGUCGCAAGUUCAUUAGAGUUCCCAACCUCAGAUUGCAGCCCAAAUAAAUGCUUCACAGAGUUCAAGUAACAGACACAUCUCAACAUCAACUGUUCAGAGGAGACUGCAUGAAUCAGGUCUUCAUGGUGGAAUUGCUGCAAAGAAACCACUACUAAUGGACACCAAUAAUAAUAAGAGACUUGCUUGGGCCAAGGAACAUGAGCAAUGGACUGGUGUAAAUCUGUCCUUUGGUCUGAUGAGUGCAAAUAUGAGAUUUUUGUUUCCAACCACAGUGUCUUUGUGAGACGCAGAGUAGGUGAACAGAUGAUCUCUGCAUGUGUGGUUCCCACCGUGAAGCAUGGAGCAGGAGGUGUGGGGGUCUUUGCUGGUGACACUGUCAGUGAUUUAUUUAGAACUCAAGGCACACUUAACCAGCAUGGCUGAAGCUGGCUGAGAGAAUGCCAAGAGUGUGCAAAGCUGUCAUCAAGGCAAAGGGUGGCUACUACUUGAAUAAUCUAAAAUCUAAAAUACUUUUUUUGGUUACUACAUGAUUUCAUGUCUGUUAUUUCCUAGUUUUGAUGUCUUCACUAUUAUUCUACAAUGUAGAAGAUAUAUAAAAAUAAAGAAAAACCUUUGAAUGAGUAGGUGUGUCCAAACUUUUGACUGGUACUGUAUAUAUUUAUAUUCCAGUCUUUGACAUAGAAACUUCUGAUAUUUUUUAAUUUUUUUUUUCUUCUGGAUAACGUGUAUAUUGUUUUGUUAUUUUGCAUUCUGCUGCAUCUACAAUCAUUUCUGCAAAUCUGUGUAUGCGGCCAAUAAACUUUGAUUUGAAAAUGUAUGCACAGAUGACUGUAAUUCGCUUUGGAUAAAAGAGUCUGCUCGAUGGCAUAUUUUAUUAUAUUAUAAUUUGAAUCAUUUUAUCAGACUGUGUGUUCUCAAACAAUAGGUUGACUGUACAAGUCAAUGGACAACAGAGAUAAAAGCAUACAGUGAUUGAGGUGUUUCAAAGGUGAUGUUUGUCUAGGGCGGUACUUCUGAGUUCUGGUUUAACACACAGAUAUCGAAUCACCCCUUUGCGUACUCAUUCUGUUCUCUGAAAUUGUAGGCCAAAUACAUAAUUCAUUUGCAUGUCCUUUUAAAGUUCAAAUUAUUGAAAGAUUGUGUCAUCUUGCCUUUUGACAUGUUUUGCUCCACUGAUAAACUAUUAACUCUGAUAGAUUUUUUACAUUUUUCACCACUGGUAUCUUGAUGAUGUAUUUCUAUAAACUAUUCCAAUUCUCCAACAUUUCUGUCUUCUGUCUUCACAGCUUGUCUGUCAUCAAGCUGCUGUAGCUACAAAGACCCUGGCUCCUUUCCUCUGAUGCUCCUACCUAAACCUUGUAAUUGUCGUCUUACCAGACAAGUUUAGAUCUAGCUACUCUGUCUAAUACUGUCUGGUAAUGCCGUCCAUUACAAGGUGUCUCAUCGCUCUUUCUCUGUCAGUCUCUUGGACCAUCCUGUACAAAUGAACUGGUAUCGGGUCAUGUGAUGUUUUUUCACCCCUCAAUGAUUUCUCCAAUUACUGGCUUAGAACGUUUAAUUGCAGGUCAAUUUUUUGGGUGAAAUGAUGUAUUUGUAUGUAAAAUAUCUUGAACAGAUAUUUGCUAACAGUAUUUUGUUGAUUAUGUUAAUAAAGGUCAUCAACGUUC